AAUGAUAUAUGAUGAAAACCAUGUGGAUGUGUGCCCCUGCCAGGGCACCUGACUUCCAUCAUGGAGAAGCAUCCAUGCUGCCUUCCUUCUGAUAUCGUA